GUGUCGCUUAUAUUUAUCUUUCACGUGAAACGGAAACGUCGUUGAAUAUUACCACGGAAGAGAAUGAAGUUACAUCUUUGGUUUGUUUUGGCUUUGACAGUCUGUCAGAAGUGUCAUUGCAGCAGGGAGUUUGUACAUCAUUUCGAAAUAUCACAAAAUAGCAUACCCUUGAAAAGUCAUGGAAGUCAUACACAAACACGAUUUCGGCGUGAUGCUGACUCAACUUGCCAAUCACAAGAAACAACAUUUCUUACUGAUGUUCUUAAGAAGAAGACACAAAUACUUGAAAAGGUAUACAAUGCAAACAAAGUAUUAAUUAGAUAUAAAAAAAACACACCCAGCAAAGUUUGAGGAGAGAACCAAUAUAUACUUAAGUUUAAACAGUAAAAAGAGGCCCAGACCAGUGGCAGUGAGUUCUAUCAACAGAUCUGUAUAGUAUACAUGUACAAAAUGUAUAUAUUUGCAUUAUUAUUGAUACACCUUAUUGCUAUUUGGAAAUCUGCAUCUGUUGACCCAAGAAUCUGCACCGCUUGAACUUUUAACAUCAUACAACAAUACACCUAAUCGCUAUUUAUUCCAUUCCGGAUAAGUUCUAAAAUUACACAACUUUUUCAUCCAGUUGAAGCUAUUUGGGACCCUGUUUAAACAAUUCACCAUGCAUGGUACUUUUUAAUGAGACCUGUUUAAACUACGGUAAAUACUUCAAACAAAUAUAUUUCAAUUUUAAUUUCGAAAAAGUGGAUCAUACUCUAUUAUAGCUGGGGAACUGUAGCUCUUAGGUCCUUAUGUUAUUUUUUUGAAUAUUUGCAGACCAUAGAUAUGGUCCACUAUUAGUCAUAGAAUAACAUAAGGACCUAAGAGCUACGGUUCUGCAGCUAACUCUAUUAAAGUUUUUUAAUGAUCGCUUUCUAAAGUUUUUCCUCCCUCAGCUCACUACUGAUGACCUCUGUUUUCAACGGCCUGACCCAAGCAGGAAGUUGUAUAAAUGACUGUUUUUCCCGGAUUGGACUUAAUAGCAUUAAGGUGUAUAGCUGUUCCAUUGUGGUGUCAGAUAUUUUCUCUUGUUAUGUAACAUCAAAAUUUUUUGGGAACCUUAAUUUUUGUGAUGUCCAGUAACUGCAGACAAAUAGUGGUCAGGUGUAUUGCUGAAUAAUGGAACAAUGUAUUCCCCUAAGUCCAGUCAUUUCAUUCCUCUAGUACAAAAAAAUGUAGUAAGUCUGUUCAUUUUGUUAACAUAAACAAAAUGUCCUGUUUGUCGUUUCCUGGCUUGACAUGUACAGAGUACUGGUAAUGGGCCACAGUCCUCUUGAAAAUUAAUACAUAUGUUUUAUAUACAAUUGUCCCACUAAAGUCUUGUGCCCUAUGGUAAAUGUGGGCAAAGUAAUUAUUAAAAUGCUGAUAGCAUCGCUGCAUGCUGAUCUCAGGACAUGACUUUACUGAUGUCAAUAUAGUUGUCGGUGCAAAUGACAGCAAGUGUGAAUGUUGACAUUUUGUAAAGGUUGGAAAAGGAACAAACAGGACUUCAUUGAGCCUUCUCAGGUACUCUUGCAUGCAUUGACAAAGGUUACAAUAUUCAGGCCUUGCAAAAAUAAAUAGUAAUGUUCAUGUACAUGUAAUAAUGCAGGAAUGUGUGCACUUAUAGGGUAUACAGAAAUUGGGAACUGUCUGUCAGUCAUUGAACCAUCCCUGGUCAAACAAUGAAGACAAACACUAUCUCAUUAUGCCAACCAACAAUAUAAACAUUAAAAAGAUCAAUAAUAGUAUACUGUGUCUGUGGAUUCAUUAUUAUUUGUUGGAUACCAAUAUAAUUAUUCAUAGAUUUCAUGGGAACAGGUGAACCACAAAUUUAAAUGUUCAACAAAAUAUAAAUUUUCUAUAAGGUUGUGUGCAGUCUUUGUUAUUUGUUAGAACCACAAAGAGGACUUUGCCAUGCCCUAUAAUGUACAUAUACUACUAUAUUGGUUUGGCCCUGUGUUCUUGUACUACAGGGCAGAUUUGAGGAAUUUUACAAUAUCGGGCAUAAUAUGUUCAAUGUAGUUGCUCAUCCCUUCAAAUUUUUGAAUUAUUACAUUUGAAGAAAUGUAGUAGAUAUUGCUUCAUUCUAAAAUCUCUUUAUUAAUUAUAGACAUGAGCAGCCGUCUUUCCCUGUUUUGACUUUUGGUGUUUUAGAGCAAAGUUACUUUACAAAUGUAUUACAUGUAUCCAGUAGAAAAGCAGUCUCUCAUAUAAUAUUUUUUUUAAUUUUAAUCGCUAUGGGGUCAUGAUAUAUAAUGAACAUAUUUUACAAGUUUUAAUUCAGUGUAUAAACCUGAUGUCUUUUUGUUUGAUUCUUGGCCUACAUGUAAUCAAACCAAGGACUUUGAAACUUGUCUUUUCUGUCGUUACCACACAUCAGGCAUUGAAAAGUAAAGACUGGAUGGCUAAGAGUUAUAAAUUUUUGCAAAUGAUGUUAUGGGUAUUGUGUUUUAGAAUGGUGAUAUAUGUCUUCUUGGAUACUGAAAAUACCUUUGUAUGUGAGCUAUCAUGUUAAAAAGCAUGUGUCUUAAGUUACUGGCCACUGUAAACACCCAUCUGUGACCUGUGAUUGCAUACAUCCAUAUCAUUUGGGCUCUUGUGAAUAGCUGUCCUAUUAGGUCUCCUUAUUUUUGUAUCAAUAAAGUUGAGAUAGAACAUUCUACAAGUCCAAUUUCUAGAAUGUUGUUUUGAUUUUUCACAUAAAAUAAAAGUUGGUCACAAAACAACCUGUGGACUGAUUCAGAACAAGAUUUACUCUAUUGUUGGUUACAAAAAUCUAAGAAGAUCAUUUUGUGAAUAAUAUACCAUUUGAUUUGCAACAUAUCACUGGUCCAUCAGCAUGAUAAGGCCAAGUGAGCUAAAAAAAAAUUAGAUAAAAUUUAAAUUAAAUUAUUCACUUUUUAAAAUAGUCAAUCACAUGAUUUUCAAAAAUAGAUAAAACUUGAAUUAAAUUAUUCACUUUAAUAGUCAAUCACAUGAUUUUCCAGUCAUGUGAUAACACUUAGAUAUAAUCUAAAUCAUUCUCAUAUAAAGUUUGAUGGUAACAAAUGUUGAAAAAUCCUGUUUAUAUUUACUGCAUGACUGAAUUUUAUUUAUUAACUUCAUUGAUUUGUUUUUAAAAAACCUUUUAAAGCUCAAGAUAGGUAAUGUUAUUAGGAUAUAUGUGAGCUAAAUAUACUUAAAUAGUACUUAUAUUCCUCCCUAUUGUUUGUAAAUGUAAAUAUUGUAUAAUUCCACAAAGGUUAAUAAUACCAAACUUUAAAAAAUCAAUUAAAAAGUUUUCAUUUUAAAGGUAGUUAUACUGGUACAUAACUGAUUUCUACUGAUCUAUUGUAAAGUUCAAGUUCAAAGUUCAUCAUCUCUGAUACAUAAGUACAUGCUUAUGUGUAACAUAAGGCAAAUAUUUGAUUUCUUUUUCAAAAAGAAACAGAAAUUACCUCAUUAAGUAUGUGUACUGCAUUUAACACACGUAAUGUUAUUUUUAAUUUAAUCAUUCCCUUGCAAUUAAGUUCCAUGGUUCAAAAGAUAUACAUGUACUACAUUUUAAUACAUGUAUAUAUGGAACAUUAUAUUUGCAAGGGCCAAGUGUGUAAAUUCAAUACAAGUAUUCUGUAUUUCCAAACUUCCAAUGUCAUGUUAUUGUAAAAAAUCAAGUCUGUAGAUAAGUUUAUAUAUAAAUGAAUGAAAAAAAAUCCCUGUAUAAUGUGAUGAAAUGAUACAUGUCUAUUAUCAGACAAUGAGAAAUUAAGUCACUGACUUAUGUGCAGAGUGUUCUCAGAAUUUUGUUUCCUUAUAAAACAAUUAGAAAAAAACUAAAACAAAUUCAAAAGUCAGAUGUGUGUGUCUGUGUAGUGCACUGUCUAAAUGAAUAAGAAAGUUUUUAGUUGAUAUGCAUCAAUUUAUUGACUAAUAAUGAAAAUAUACAACAUCUUUUCAUUUUUCUUUACAAAGAUUCUGUAGUUUAGUAUUAAAAUUCAUAAGAAAACCGUGAGUCAAAGGUUUGAUAUAUCCUAGUGUGGUUCUCAGAUAUCUACUGGACAUUCUGCCAUUUAAAGAUUAUUGAUGUUUGCUGAUACUUUACAAAUGUAUAACCAUGAUAACUGAAUGUUAAAAUUCUGAUUUUUUCCAGGACUUUUGUUUUGAAAUUAUUAUUUUUCUGAAAACGAAGUAUUACUGAUAAUUAUACCAAGUAUACCCAUGAACAUAUAUAUUAACGUUAGAUAUACUGUUCUCAGCCUCAGGUAUACCAUACUGAUUGAACUUGCUUCCAAUUUUUGUUUGGUUUUAAUUUACAAUUUUCAGGUGGCACACAUAAUAAAAUUUGAGCAGUUGGCACUACGAGACCAAAAUAUAGUAUAUGAAUUCUCACAUGUGAAAUAAAGCAGCAUCUUAAAGAAUUUACUAAGAUUCAAAGAUUUUAAAAUGUCAUGAAUACAAAAUUCAAACAUUGAGUUUAAGAAAAAAAUGUGCAUAGUUCAAUAGAAUUGAAAACUGAAAUAGAAAAGAAUGCAUAAAUAGAUGGGGAAAAAAUAUUGCAGUUAUAUAUACCCUCCCAUAGAAAACAGAUAAUAUUGAUAGUUUCAAUGUUCCAUUGAUGCUUUACCAAUAUGAAUUUAAAAAUAAGGAGAUGGGAUAUGAUUGCCAAUUAGAAAACUAAAUGAAGUAGUAGUAUUUUAUAAGCACAUAUGCAUAUUUUAUACUCUGUGAUCUAUUUGUUGGAAUGUUCUAUCAAAUGAUAUGUAUAGUGAUGUUUUUUUGUUUCAGAGAGUAUUUCAGAAUGAUAGUAAUACAGGAAUGGCUUUGGCCUGGGCUGGUACCCAUGGGGUAUGUAUAGAUUUGUUUUAAUUAGUAAUAUAAAUUUACAUGCUAAAAGAAAAUAUUAUGAAUAUUUACAUCAUCCACUUGGUGUAAGAGAAAUAAUUAAAAAAAAAAAAAUGAGAUUGAAUAAUUUUAUUUUGUUUAUGUUCAUAAAUAACCAGAUUAUAAUGUUUAGAAAUUAGAAUAUAAAAAAAAAAUUAGAAGCUUAAAAAAACAUUCAGAAAUUUACACCAAACAGGACAUGAUUUGUAUUAUACAAAUCAGCUGCAUAGACUGAAAAUGAAAUCAAAACAUUGACACCAACUACACUGAAAGCAAAGAGAACAAUAAAAUUGUUAUUGUUAUUAACAUAAUUAUUACAUGCUUUUGAUGGCUAACAUGAUCUUCCAUGUUUCAUCUUCUGUCCAGUAAAUAUGUUGUUGAAUGUGAAAAGGCAUGACUUAAUAUAUUUUGUCCUUUUCAGACCAUGAUAGUGGUGACAAGUCAAGAAUCUUUUGGUAUAGCAACAGGUGCCUCUAAUAUAUAUAGAACGUAAGUUACUGGUUUAUCUAAAAUUAGUAGAUUAUUAAUCAUUUAUGCCAUAAUCAUUCAGCGAGCUUAAUUCAUUAGUGCCUCAAACUCUUAAAGAAUGUAGGUCAUCAAUGAAAUUAAGGGUUACCCAACACUUUGAUUAAAAUAGUCUUCGUUUAAUUUGGACAAAAUAUUUACACAACUUUCAGGAAAUGAUACAUGAGGUAUAGGGGCCAGCUGAAGCCUGCAGGUGCAGGAUUUUCUUGGUGUGUUAAAGGUCUGUUUUAAAUUACUACUCUUUCGUUAGGCUGUUGUCUCUUUGACGAAUUCCGUUUCUAUUCUCAAUUUUAUCAACAAUUUUAUCAACAAUUAUGGACAAAGGGAGAUAAGUCUGUUCAAACUAUUGUCUUACAUAUUUCUUUUCCAAAAAAAACCCAAUAUUUCCCCUGUACUUUCAGGUUCAGUGAUAUGUAUUUAUAUAAAAUAAAUAAAGCUUACCAUAAUGAUGCUGGUUUCAAGUACAUUGUAUAAAUUAUAAGAUACCUUUGAGUCAGACUAUAUAUUGUCAAGCAAAUACUUAUUAUUAAAGCUCUAAUGGUUGUGAUGUAAUGUUUAUUUGUCGGCUUAGCAAAAUGAUUUAUUGUGGAAUAUAUGAUAAAAGUAAUUACUUUGCGUAUAUGUUUUCAAAUUUAAUUACUUUGCAUAUAUAUGUUUUUAAAUUUAAUUUCUGUACAUUUUUACAGAGAAAAUUAUGGUUUGACAUUUGAGAACAUUACUAGUAAACUAACUAAAGAGCCAACGUUCAUUAGAAAGCAUGCUGGGAUAUUUAGACAUACAGAUGAUACAAAUAGGGUAAAUAUUGUCAUGGUGUAGUGGUAAGCAUCGGACUACUAACACAGAGGUUCCUGGUUAGAUCCCUGCUCCGGUGAGAAAAUUUCAGGGACUGAAUUUUCGGCUCUCCCUUGAUACCAUGAGAAACAAAGAUAGUCCUUCGGAAGGGGGGGGGGGUCAAUUGCUGACCCAUGUUAAGAGAGAGCCAUAUCUCUUGCACAUGCAUUUGUAAAAGACACCUUUGUAAUUUCGAAAAAGAGCAGGCUAAUGCCGCUACAAGGCAGCACUCACACCCGCAAAGUGGAAAGGGAUUUAUAUAAUUUACAGUGUAUUGUUUCCCAAUCCACUUGAAUAAAUAUGUUUAAUCUAACUUAUUGUCCCUGAAAUGAACAAACCUUUCAAAUUGUGUUCCUAGUUAGAUUUUUAUUACCUAUUUAUUAUGCCCCAUUUAUAGGACUUAUUUUGGCUCAUUAAUGGGCAUUAUGUAUUCUGGCCUAUGUGUCCUUUCGUCUGUCUGUCCUUUCGUCGGUCUGCAGGUACAAGAUUUUGGUCAAGGUAGUUCAUGAUGAAGUUGGAGUCCAAUCAACUUGAUACUUAGUACACAUGAUGAUGUUCCCUAUGAUAUGAUCUUUCUAAUUUCAUGCCAAAUUAGAGUUUUGACUCCAAUUUCAUAGUCCUCUGAACAUAUAUGAUGAUAGUGCGAGUGGGGCAUCCAUGUACUUUGGACGCAUUCUUGUUUUGCCUAAAAUAAAUGUUUUUGAAAAAUGUAUUGGCUGAAGUUUUUUUUAUAUAAUCUUUGAAAGUUCGUCCAAUUAGAUACCAAGCCUUUAGAACAAUUUCAUGUAUCAUAAAAUAGUAAAACGAACUCAAGUUACAUUGUAAACAAAUUAUAAUUUUCUAUAUUUAUCUUAUCUAUUUAUAACUCUGUAUUGCUAUUUCACUUUCAUUGUUUCUCUCACCUUGACGACGUCAAAUUCAAUGCACCACUUUGAGUACUUCAGGGAUUAAUUUCUGUAUAAAAAUUGUCCUGGUGAAGCCUGCCUUGCAGGCGAAACAUGUAGACCAUAGCAAAUAAAAUUGCAGGCCAUUCGAAGUGUUGUUGUCAAUUUUGGGUAUUAUUUUAAUGUUGCAUUUAUUUGCAUAAUUUGACAACCCUGCAUACCAAGGUAUCCACUUCAGGGACUCUAACGAAAUGAUUCACACAGGCGUUGGUUCACCACAUGGAGUUUAAUUUGUUAUUAUUUUUUUGUGAACCCCUGCAUCCGAAAGGAACCGCCUUGCUACACGCGCCGAUCUACAGGCCACCAGCAUUUACAUGGACCAAGGAAUAUUACAUACUUGCGACGAAAUAACAACUGAACCAAGAUGACCAAGAUGUCCGAUACCACCUUAACAUCUAUAAAUGAUAGCAGAUAUAAAUGAUAGCAGAAGAAAUGUACCAUGGGCGCCGAUCUUAAAGGAACUUGCUUGGAAUUCAUAACCAUGCCAUUAAACAGACCAACUACUGCAGACGAUCCAACAAUUAUAUAGAGUCACCAAAUAAUUUACAAGGGAGCAAUUUUUGACAAUUUUAUUUUCCAUAGCGGCAACCAUAAUCUUCCUAUUGUUGCCAACGGUUAGGAAGUAGUAACUUCCAACAAUGGCCAGGUUGGAAGAGAAGCCUUGUGAAGUGGUAGGAACCAUGGGAAGUUCGUCCAAUUAGAUACCAAGCCUUCAGAACAAUUUCAUGUAUCAUAUAAUAGUAAAACGAACUCAAAUUACUUUGUAAACAAACUUUAAUUUUCUAUAUUUAUCUUAUCUAUUUAUAACUCUGUAUUGCUACUUUCACUUUUCAUUGUUUCUCUCACCAUGAACUCAAUUCAAUGCACCACUUUGAGUAUACAGGGAUUAAUUUCUGUAUAAAAAUUGUCCUGAUGAACCUGCCUUGCAGGCGAAACAUGUAGACCAUAGCAAAUAAAAUUGCAGACCAUUCGAAGUGUUGUUGUCAAUUUUGGGUAUUAUUGUAUUAAUCUUUGAAAGUGUGUAAAUGAUAUUUUAUUAUGUAUACUUAUAAUAAUAAUGCAUGUAUAAAUAAUGUAAUAACAAUUGUACCUAUUGUAAUUAUAUAAGUUAAAGCUAAUUUCACAACUUCUAGGUGAAGUAUCAAUAUUAUAAAAACUUUUAAUUUAUUUUAGCAGAUGGAAAAAUAGCUAUGGAAACGUAGGUCAUAGGUCCUUAUGGUAUUUAUUUUAGGUUAUGGUCUGAAAAUUGUAAAAAAAAUAUGAUAUGGACCUAUGGAAAUACUGCCAAACGUUCCUUAACAACCACCUGCUGUUACUGACCUAUUUUCACUGUCUUAAAAGCCCAGGAUCAGCAACUUUCUAAAAAGUGGAAUUGUGCUACCAUUUUGAUGAUCAAUGUGGACAUUACUUACAUUUAAUCUUGGCUGAUUUUUUUGCAAGGGUUGCAUAGUCUAGGAUUGUGGAAUGUUGAUAUUCAAACAAUCGGCAAUUCCUUAGCAAAUCCACUAGAACUGAAUGGACCAAGUUUAGACAAUUGAUAACCAUAAAAAAAGAUAAUCAGGAAGCCAAAUAUCACUUAUAGCUAAUUACAUUUAUUUUAAAGUUCAACUCGAUUGGAUUGAACAGAGCUAUUGUCAAUACAAUGUAAUGUGAUUGUGACAAAAUUGCUAAAAAUGAUGAUGAUGAUGUUAAUGAUUUCAUAACAUAAUUAGCAUGUCUAGCAAAAUAGAAUUUUCGUGACAGUAAUAUAGGAACAAGCGAUCAAUCAUCAAACUAUAUUUUUAAUUUAAUAAAAAAUAUUUGUAAGACAUUGCAUGAGGAAACAAUUUAUAUAAAAUAUUAAUGAACAUGUGGGGGCUCUACACCCUGGGGUAUUUUCACAGGAAUUAGAUUGGACAUAAUAAUAAGAACCUUGUUUUGUGAUUUAUGAACAAAUACAAAAAUACUGAAAGUCAAGGAAAACAUUUUACAAUAUUAUGAUCAGUUCUCAUAAUUAGUCAUAGUGGAUAUAUAUAUACAAGACCAAUUUAGAAUGUUUUUCUUGCACUAAAAGUUCAAAAGUUAUAAUGUACAUAAAUGCUUCCUUCUAUUUAAAAUGAGGAACCUGUAUUAAAAACAACCUGUAUUACAAGACUACUUUUGCCUCCUCCUUUGAGUGGUCUUUUUAAAACAUGUUUGACUAUAUAGCUGAAAUAUAAUAUUUGUAUUGAUACAUUUAAUAAAUAAAUAAUAACUUGUUUAUGGAUAUUUGUGUUUGAUAAAAAUGUUGCUGUUGGAGAUGACUUAUAUCACCAUAUUUCUCAUCAUAAUGAUAUUGAUAGUAAUCACUUUUCAUUUUACGAAAUUUUCAUUUGAUCUUGCUGACUGAUAAUUUCCUUACUUAGCGGUGUCGAGUGAUAUGUCAAAUUAUCGCUAGAAACUAAAAGGCAUAUGGCUUUGUCAAUAAAAUUUACAUGAAAAUGGCAACAUCGUCAUAGGUAAAAUAGCAAUAAACAGUUUAUCAUUGGUCAUCUCAACUCAAUUGCUUUUCUCACUUUUGCCGUUCCAGAUCAAGUGAGAAAAUCAAUCUAGUUGAGAUGAUCAACGAUACAUUUGUAAUCUAUAAUUCUCUUUGCAAAAUGUUUUUAUGCCCCACCUACGAUAGUGUUUUCUGGUCUGUGCGUCCGUCCGUCCGUCCGUCUGUCCGUUAGUUCGUCCGUCGUCCGUCCUCGCUUCAGGGUUAAAGUUUUUGGUCAAGGUAGUUUUUUUGAUGAAGUUUAAGUCCAAUCGACUUCAAAACUUAGUACACAUGUCCCCUAUGAUAUGAUCUUUCUAAUUUUAAUGCCAAAUUAGAGUUUUUACCCAAUUUCACGGUCCACUGAACAUGGAAAUGAUAGUGCGAGUGGGGCAUUCGUGUACUGAGGACACAUUCUUGUUGUAUUAAUUAUACCCCAUGCAACAAAGUUGCGAAGGGUAUAAUGUUUUUGACCCGUCCGUCCGUCAGUCCUGUUUUUUGUCAUCGCAACUCCUCUCAAACCCACACAACAGAAUUCACGAAACUUUUUCAGAUGAAAAGACAUACUAUGUAGUUGUGCAAUCGAAGAAAUUGCGAUUCAAUUUUUUUAAAGAGUUACGCCCCUUUGAUCUUAUUUGCUUAAUGUACUACUGCAACAGUUUGUCAUCGCAACUCCUCUGAAACUACACAACAGAAUUUCACGAAACCUUUUAGAUAAUAAGAACAUACUAUUUAGAUGUGCAUAUCGACAGAAAUUACGAUUCAAUUUUUUUCUAGGAGUUACCCCCUUUGAACUUUUACUUUAUUGUACUACUGCAACAGUUUGUCAUCGCAAACUCCUCUGAAACUAACAACAGAAUUUCAUGAAACCUUUUAAGAUAAUAAGGACAUACUAUGUAGAUGUGCAUAUCGACAGGAAUUACGAUUCAUUUUUUUUCUAGGAGAUACAUCUCUUUGAACUUAUUUGCUUUAAGGUACUACUUCAACAGUUUGUCAUCUCAACUCCUCUGAAACCACACAACAGAAUUUCAUGAACAUUUGUAGAUAAUAAGGACAUACUUGUAGAUGUGCAUAUCGACAGAAAUUACAAUUCAAUUUUUUUUCUAGAUUACGCCCCUUUGACUUAUUUGCUUCAAUGUACUUCUGCAACAGUUUGUCAUCUCAACUCCUCUGAAACCACACAACAGAAUUUCAUGAAAUUUUGUAGAUAAUAAGGACAUACUAUGUUGAUGUGCAUAUUGACAGGAAAAUUAUUCAUAUUUUUUCUAUACAAUUUUUUUUCUACACUUAUUUAAUUUCUCCAAUGACAAUGUGGGGACAUGGGGUAUGUGAGCGUGCUCACUAAGGUUCUUUAUUUCUAAUUUUACAGGUCUAUUUAGUAUCUGUUCGUCCAAAAGGAACUGUCCUGUAUAUAACAGAGGACAGUGGAAAAAGUUUUGUAUCUGUAAACCUUGACUUCCAGAUAGAUGGACAAUUACAUUUUAACCCUAAAAACAAAGAUUAUUUGAUGGCAUCGUCAAGUGUUCUUACAGUAAAGGUUUGUUUUUAUUUUAUUCCCACAUUAUCAUUAUGGAUGUUUUUUAAAUAAUCAGAUUUUUUACAGAUAUUCAAAAAAAAAAAAAGAAGAAAAAAUUGUUAUUAUUAGAUGUUGGACUGGUUUUCAAAAUGUGAGUUGCUAUCUUGCAUGUUUUGAUGAUAGGAAAGUAAUAUCAGAUGUAUCUGGAUAGAUAGCCAAUCAUUGAGAGCCAUUCAAAGUGUUGAUCAAUUCAUUGUGGAAUUUAUAUUGGAGAUAAUAAGAAUAUAGUGAAGGAAUGUCUUUAAUAAAAAUAUAGUGAAGAAAUGUCUUUGAUAAAAAUAUAGUGAAGAAAUGUCUUUGAUAAAAAUAUAGUGAAGAAAUGUCUUUGAUAAAAAUAAAGUGAAGAAAUGUCACGCUAACAUAUUUUAACAAAAAUAUAGUGAAGGAAUGUCACGCUAACAUAUUUUAAUAAAAAUAUAGUGAAGAAAUGUUUCACUAACAUAUUUUGAUAAAAAUAUAGUGAAGACAUGUCACGCUAACAUAUUUUGAUAAAAAUAUAGUGAAGUAAUGUUUCACUAACAUAUUUUGAUAAAAAUAUAGUGAAGAAAUGUCACGCUAACAUAUUUUAACAAAAAUAUAGUGAAAGAAUGUUACGCUAACAUAUUUUAAUAAAAAUAUAGUGAAGAAAUGUCUUUGAUAAAUAAAGUGAAGAAAUGUCACACUAACAUAUUUAAACAAAAAUAUAGUGAAGGAAUGUCACGCUAACAUAUGUUAAUAAAAAUAUAGUGAAGAAAUGUUUCACUAACAUAUUUUGAUAAAAAUAUAGUGAAGAAAUGUCACGCUAACAUAUUUUGAUAAAAAUAUAGUGAAGAAAUGUCACACUAACAUAUUUUAAUAAAAAUAUAGUGAAGAAAUGUCCUGCUAACAUAUUUUGAUAAAAAUAUAGUGAAGAAAUGUCACGCUAAUACGAGUCUUGUGAUUUAAGAUGAUAUUGUGCUCCUAUUCAUAUGUAUGUUAGAGGUUCUUCCAUCCUAUUGACACAACUGGCAUAUACCAUGAUACAUAGAUACAAGAAGAUGUGGUAUGAGUGCUAAUAAGUCAACUGUCAUCUAUAUUUAUCAGGUUUGGAUCAAUCCCUGAACUUGGGGGUUCACUUAAAUAAAAACCCUUUUGAUAUAUACAUAGUCAAAUAUUAAUAUUAGUUAUAUUACAACACAGAGUCUGUUUGACUGUAAUCAUGGUUUACAUCUACCUAAGUUUACAAGUUUAAGAAAGAACAGACAGAAUAGCUAUAAAUAUACCAGAAUAUUUACUUUAAAUUUCUUUUUCUUGAUAUUUGCAAAACACUCAAUUCAACUUGGAGCACUAUUUAUUUAUCUGACGACAGCCUAGACUUACAUGGUUUACUGAAUCAGAUUUAAUGUCAUGUGGCAUUGUAAUAAAAAAACCAGAGGAAGAUAAAUAUGAAACCAAGAGAUGAAUUUAAGUGUCAGUCAACCAAGACAGCAACUUUUGAAUGAUUUAGUUGCUUAUAAUAAUAGGAAACAUUGUUCAGGGCUAAAAGUUAUUUUUGUAUAAAUCUCUGAUACAUGUAUUAUGAUCGGUGAUAAGAAUUUUACUGAUUCUAGAAAAAAUCCAAAGAAAUAAAAAGACAGGUAAAGUACU
rnacentral:lncRNA from 1 species